AUUGAACGCUGGCGGCAUGCCUUACACAUGCAAAUCGAACGGUAACGGGCCUUCGGGUGCCGACGAGUGGCGAACGGGUGAGUAAUACAUCGGAACGUGCCCGAUCGUGGGGGAUAACGAGGCGAAAGCUUUGCUAAUACCGCAUACGAUCUACGUAUGAAAGCAGGGGACCGCAAGGCCUUGCGCGGGCGGAGCGGCCGAUGGCAGAUUAGGUAGUUGGUGGGAUAAAAGCUUACCAAGCCGACGAUCUGUAGCUGGUCUGAGAGGAUGAUCAGCCACACUGGGACUGAGACACGGCCCAGACUCCUACGGGAGGCAGCAGUGGGGAAUUUUGGACAAUGGGCGCAAGCCUGAUCCAGCCAUGCCGCGUGCAGGAUGAAGGCCUUCGGGUUGUAAACUGAUUUUGUACGGAACGAAAAGCCUUCUUUUAAUACAGGAGGGUCAUGACGGUACCGUAAGAAUAAGCACCGGCUAACUACGUG
rnacentral:rRNA from 1 species